rnacentral:rRNA from 1 species
UGGGGAAUAUUGCACAAUGGGCGAAAGCCUGAUGCAGCAACGCCGCGUGAGUGAUGAAGGCCUUCGGGUUGUAAAGCUCUGUCUUUUGGGACGAUAAUGACGGUACCAAAGGAGGAAGCCACGGCUAACUACGUGCCAGCAGCCGCGGUAAUACGUAGGUGGCAAGCGUUGUCCGGAUUUACUGGGCGUAAAGGAUGCGUAGGCGGAUUUUUAAGUGAGAUGUGAAAUACCCGGGCUUAACUUGGGUGCUACAUUUCAAACUGGGAAUCUAGAGUGCGGGAGAGGAGAAUGGAAUUCCUAGUGUAGCGGUGAAAUGCGUAGAGAUUAGGAAGAACACCAGUGGCGAAGGCGAUUCUCUGGACCGUAACUGACGCUGAGGCAUGAAAGCGUGGGUAGCAAACAGGAUUAGAUACCCUGGUAGUCCACGCCGUAAACGAUGAGUACUAGGUGUAGGAGGUAUCGACCCCUUCUGUGCCGCAGUUAACACAAUCAAGUACUCCGCCUGGGAAGUACGAUCGCAAGAUUAAAACUCAAAUGAAUUGACGGGGUC